GCGGCCCCGGCGGCGGCGGCGGCCGGAGGAGCCGGGGGCGGGACCUCGGGGAGGCCACCAUGUCCCAGGCCACCACCUGCCUCGAGCAGCAGGGGGAUGGCGGGGAGAGCCCCCCCCCGCUGCCACCGCCGGGAUCCCCCCUCGUGUUCCCACGGGAGACGCUGUUCCGGCAGGCGAGCGGGGUCACCUACCGCAUCCCGGCUUUGCUGUACAUCCCCCCGGCCGCCACCUUCCUGGCCUUCGCCGAGAAGCGCUCCUCGGCCAGGGACGAGGACGCCAAGUACCUGGUGCUGCGCCGGGGCCGCCGGCACGGCUCCUCGGUGGAGUGGGAUCCGCCGGAGGAGCUGUCGGCCUUGGUGCUGCCCGGCCGCCGCACCAUGAACCCCUGUCCCCUCUACGACGCCACGAGCGGCACCGUCUUCCUCUUCUGCAUCUGCGUCGAGCGGGGGAAGACGGAGCGGUGCCAGAUCUGGAGGGGCUGCAGCGCCGCUCGCCUCUGCUACGCCACCAGCGCCGACGGCGGCCACCGCUGGACCCCGCUGCGGGACGUGACGGAUGAAGCCGUGGGCCCCGACCUGUCCCGUUGGGCCACCUUCGCCGUGGGGCCGGGCCACGGGGUCCAGCUGGCUUCGGGGCGCCUGGUCGUGCCGGCCUACACCUACUACGUGCACGAGCGGUUGUGCGGGGUCGUGCCGCUGCCUUGCUACACCCGGCAGCACGCCCUCGUCUUCUACAGCGACGACGGCGGGCGCAGCUGGCACAAGGGUGGCCUGGUGGGGGGCGGGCCGACGGGCGAGUGCCAGGUAGCCGAAAUCGACGGGGGUGAUGCCCGCCAGCCCUUGCUCUACUGCAACGCCCGAGCGCCGUGGGGUUGCCGGGCCGUGGCCUUCAGCGCCGACCGUGGGCUGCGGUUCGAGGGGUCGGCGCGGUGCAAAGCGCUGGGCGAACCGCCGCGGGGGUGCCAGGGCAGCGUGGUGAGCUUCCCCCCGCCCUCCGGGGAGGCGCCCGCUUGGUUACUCUACUCCCAUCCCACCGACCGGCACCGCCGGCGCGAUUUGGGCAUCUAUCUCAACCCUUCUCCGCUGGACGGGGAGGGCUGGCGGCACCCGUGGGUGCUGCACCCGGGGCCGGCUGGGUAUUCCGACCUGGCCGUCUGCCCCGGCGGCGUUUUCGGCUGCUUGUUCGAGUGCGGCGCCAGCAGCGCCUGCGAGGAAAUCGCCUUCUGCCUCUUCGCCCUGGACGCCCCUGACGGCAGCGAGGGGAACCUCGAAGUUCCUAAAAUGGACCCAUUUUAAGGGGGGAGGUGGGGGAGGGGUGGGAUGUGUCACUUCCGACUGCCGGCAGCCGGAGACAUCAACGCCGGGACCUCACCGGGACAUUUUGGAUGCACCAGAGGCUCAGCAUCGCGGGACAGCUUGUGGCAUCUCGACGGUGACAGCACCCUCACACCCCCGUGCCGCCACUGCCGAAUAAAAUCCUCCCCAAACGGG